CCUACGGGAGGCAGCAGUGGGGAAUAUUGGGCCAUGGGCGCAAGCCUGACCCAGCAACGCCGCGUGAAGGAAGAAGGCUCUCGGGUUGUAAACUUCUUUUUAGAGGGAAGAGCAGAAGACGGUACCUCUUGAAUAAGCCACGGCUAACUACGUGCCAGCAGCCGCGGUAAUACGUAGGUGGCCAGCGUUGUCCGGAUUUACUGGGUGUAAAGGGCGUGCAGCCGGGAAGACAAGUCAGAUGGGAAAUCCCGGUGCUCAACCGCGGAACUGCGUUUGAAACUGGUUUUCUUGAGUACCGGAGAGGGCAGCGGAAUUCCGUGUGUAGCGGUGAAAUGCGUAGAUAUUAGGAAGAACACCAGUGGCGAAGGCGGCUUACUGGACGGGAACUGACGUUGAGGCUCGAAAGCGUGGGGAGCAAACAGGAUUAGAUACCCCUGUAGUC
rnacentral:rRNA from 1 species